UACGUAGGGUGCGAGCGUUGUCCGGAAUUACUGGGCGUAAAGAGCUCGUAGGCGGUCUGUCGCGUCUGCUGUGAAAAACUCAGGGCUUAACCCUGAGCUUGCAGUGGGGUACGGGGCAGACUAGAGUGCGGUAGGGGGAGACUGGGAUUCCUGGUGUAGCGGUGAAAAUGCGCAGAUAUCAGGGAGGGAACACCCGGUGG
rnacentral:rRNA from 1 species